AGCAGUCUGUCCACCUCUUCUGGGAAGUUCACCUCCUCUCGUGAUUCCGGAGAAUUUUCUUGCAAACAUGGGGCUCCUGCGCCAUUGUUACUACUUCUGGUUGGAUGCCAUACCAAAACAGGUCAGCCGGAACCGUUCUACGGGGGUUUUGAACUUGAAGAGAGAGCUGAAGACUGACCCUUCUGUAGCGACAGAGCAGAAGCUGUCUCAGGAGCCUAAUUCCUUGAAAAGAAUUAUGGGAGAAGCAACCGUUUCUACGGCGUGAAAGAAUUCCUAUAUGAUGCUACAUUUUGGUCCCAGGUCUGAGCCUGUGGUUGGGCCACUAGCAAUUUGUGCGGAUCAGCCUCCCCACCACCUUGGCAGCGCUUGAUGUUAUUUCAAAAAACAAACCACAGUGAGGUGGGAAGAACUGGUUUAAUAGACACAAAGUGAUGUUUGCUUUUCCUUAACUGUUUACUUUUCUACCGUUGUUUUUCCUCCAACUUUUUAUUUUGAAAGUUUUAGGUUUGCAGAGAAGUUGGUGAAAAAAAAAAAAAAAACAUACCAAGCGUAUCUUCCUCAGCUGGAGUCACCUGCUUUCAAUAUUUCCCACAUUUGCUCUGUUUUCUAUUCUGAACACACACACACACACACACACACACACACACACACACCAUACAUAUAUACACAGAUAUGAACACACACAUCUUACACGCGUUCUCGACCGGCCAGGAAAGACGCAACAAACCGGAAUCUUCUGCGGCAAAACUUUAUUGCUUACAUCUUCAGGAGCAAGAGGCAAGAGCCAGAGCAAGAGCUCUAUUGCUUACAUCUUUAGGAGCCAGAGCGCAAGAGAGCAAGAGCCAGAGCAAGAGUGCAAAAGGGAGAAUGGCGAAACCCCGUCCCUUUUUAAGGAGAAUUAUUCUCCGCCUAGGACGUAUUACUCCCUGAUUGGCUGCAGCCCAUCGGCCGAGUUGUCGUCACGGGGAAGGCAGAGCACAUGGGGUGGAAAACUACCCUUGGCACAUGCGCAGAUUAUUUGUUUACCACUUAGAACACAGGAUGUCAGCGCCAUCUUGUAACGGCGAAUGUGAGGGCGGCUCCCCCCCCCCCACACACACACACAAAUAUAUACAUAUCCAUACCCGGGCACACAAUUUUUCUUGUUCAGUCAGUUGAACCGUGAUGACUUUAUGAUACCAUAUCCCUAGCCUCUCCAUCAUGUGUGUUCACAUAAGCCAAAAAAGAGCCAUGUAUUUCAUACCCAAGAAUUCCCAGCACUGGAGAUGGCAGUAUACGCCUAUAAUCCCAGCACUUGGGAGGCUGAGACAGGAGAAUUGUGAGUUUGCCACCAGCCUAGGGUACAUAGUAAGACUGGCUGGUUUUGUGUUAACUUGACACAAGCUAGAGUCACCACAGAGAAAGGAGCCUCAGGUGAGGAAAUGCCUCCAUGAGAUCCAUUUGUGAGUUAUUUCUCAAUUAGUGAUCACUGUGGGUGGUGCUAUCCCUGGGCUGAUGGUCCUUGGUUCUAUAGGAAAGCAAGCUGAGCAAGCCAUGAGGAGCAAGCCAGUAAGCAUCACCUCUCCAUGGCCUCUGCAUCAGCUCUUGCCUCCAGGAUCAUGUCCUGUUUGAGUUCCUGUCUUGACUUCCUUCAAUAAUAAACAACAAUAUGGAGGUAUAAGCGGAAUGAACACUGUUCCCCAAUUUGCUUUUUGUUCAUGGUGUUCACAGCAAUAGAAAUCCUAACUAAGGUAGAGACACUGUAUCAAAAGUAAAAAAAAAGAUGAGACUUGGUGGUUUAGAGUACUGCUGCUCUUUCAAAGGAGCCAGGUUCAGUACCCAGACCCCCAUAUGCAGGUCACAACCAUCCAUAACUUCUCUUCCAAGGGAUAUAAUAACACUCUCUUUUGGCCUCCACAGGCACUGGUCAUGCAAGUGGUACAUGAUACACAUACAAGCAAAACACCCAAAUACACACAAUUUUAAAAUAAUAAGAGUGAUCUUUGAACAAGCAAACAAAAAGAAAAAAUAAAGGAGAAAAAGGAAAAGAAGUAAGAAGGUCUCAAGUGGCGCUACCUCAGAUAGAAAAGCCAGCAAAGACAUCCAGCGGCGGGGACACCACCUGGAGGGACAGGUUGGCUGAAGAACAAGGUGCUGAGGCUGAAGUCCCAGCUGAGGACAGCCAGAUGAGUGAAGCUGGUUGGUAUCAUGAGGAGCAAGGAACAGCUCCAAAGUUAAAAAGAAAUAAAAUGUUAUUAACUUGG